GCGGGCGUAGUUCAUUGGUAGAAUAUGAGCUUCCCAAGCUUAAGAGGUGGGUUCGAUUCCCAUCGCCCGCU
rnacentral:tRNA from 1 species